UAUGUGAUCGUCUCUCGCAUAUCAAUAAGCGGAGGAAAAGAAACUAACAAGGAUUCCCCUAGUAACGGCGAGUGAAGCGGGAAGAGCUCAAAUUUGAAAUCUUAAAGGGUUUCCCUUUACGAAUUGUAGUUUAAAGAAGUGUUUUCUGUUGAGGUUUUGGUAAAAGUUCUUUGGAAUAGGACAUCAUAGAGGGUGAGAAUCCCGUAUUUGACCUUUACUUUCAACUUUGUGAUACUACUUUCAAAGAGUCGGAUUGUUUGGGAAUGCAGUCCAAAAUGGGUGGUAAAUUUCAUCUAAAGCUAAAUAUUGGCGAGAGACCGAUAGCGAACAAGUACCGUGAGGGAAAGAUGAAAAGAACUUUGAAAAGAGAGUUAAACAGUACGUGAAAUUGUCAAAAGGGAAGCGUUUGACACCAGUGUUGUUUUUCUGAAAAUCAAUUAAAGAACUGUUUAUGCUAAGUUGUUUAGACUUUAUCAGCUAACUGUUUAGUUUUGAGCUUUUCUUUAAUGCACUUUUCAGUUAACAAGUCAACAUCAAUUUCUUUUGCUGUAAAAAAGCUUGAGGAAGGUGGCUUGAGAUUCGUCUUAAGUGUCCAUAGCCUCUUGCCUAUGCAGUCGGAGAGAUUGAGGUCUGCAGCGUAGAUCCUUCGGGGCUAAAUGCAUUUGUGCUAAGUUAUAGCAUUUUAUAGACAACUUGUUGACUAUGAUUUGUCUUGUAGCUUACUCGCUUAUGUUAUUUUACCUACGCUUAGGAUGUUGAAGACUCUACAGAGAUA
rnacentral:rRNA from 1 species